UUGUGUUUGCUUUAAGAAAAAAUAAACUUGUGAUUAAAGUUUAACAUGUAUACGAUUUUUUCCUGGGCCACCUUAUCAAUUUUUUUUCAAUGUUAAGUGUACAUGUGUCAAUCAAAUGUGCAGUUCUCCAUUCCUGUGAACUGACCAAAACAUGGAAGUAUCAAUAGUGUUUGCACUAGUUAUGUUGUCAACGUACUCACUUCUGAUUACUAUUGUUUUAAUUUUCAUAGUAUUUCGAAAAAAAAACAAAAAUGUACACCAUUCUUCGACAAACAAAGAAAGCAAGUACAAAACUUUAGAUAAAGAACGGUUUCUUAAAGUCCUCUCGGAUAUACUGGCAAACGCAUAUGAACAUGCAUCUCAGCAAAAGCCUAUAAACAACACUCGAGACUUCUUCUUCAGGCAACUUUCUACAGUCGUCGAUAACAGUGAAUUAUAUAACUGUCCAGAGGAAAAAAAUUGUCAGCAUGGGGGAAAAAACACAGAUUCAUUUAUCUAUUCAAAUCCUGAUGAAUACGAUUAUGUGGCACUGAGAGAUACAAAUUUUAAUGGCAGUAAAGAUAAAAAUAUAAUCCCGGCAAAGUCUACAAGAACUUCUUUUGGGUCAAAAGAUCAUUUGGAGUUUUUUAAUUUGUAUGAAAAUAUAACUCCGAAUUCUAAAACUGACACUAAUACUUAUCUAGAACCCAAACAGUUUUCCCCAAAACAUGAUUGUCCGUCAGAUCUUCGUAACUUGUGUCACACAAACAAGUAAUUUUUUGGGGCAUGUGCUAUUUUUAUUAAAUUAACUUUUAAUGUGUUUAGAUGUGGCUUCAAAUGUAUUACACUAGGUCCUGUUUCUAAGGUUUUUUGGCAUUUUACGAUUUGUAAAAGCAGUAAAGCGGUAGUUUGAAGUCAUAACUCAUAGGAAUUAUAAGAAUUGACUUGUUUUAUAUUAAUGUUGAAAGUGUGUUCAGAACUGUUGUUCCCCGAAUGUACGAUUUAGGUAAUACAUUUUCGCAUACAAUACUGGAGAGCAAAACUCUACAAUAAAAUCCCCGAUUGCUGGAAGAAAACAAGAUUAAAGGAAUUGGAGAAUACACUGAAUACAUUUUUAUUAACCAUAGUACUAUAUACUUACGGUAGAAGACUUCCUGUAUAGUGAAAUUUAAUAGAGGUGUUUUAGUUUAUUUUUAAUAUUAUUUUAAUUUGCGUGUGAAUUGUAGUUAAUACAUACAUUUUGUGUAAUUUGUGACGUUGCCGUGUAACAGAAUUGAUGGCGAAAUAUAUUAUUAUUAUUAUUAAUA